AUACGGAGGAUGCAAGCGUUAUCCGGAUUUAUUGGGUUUAAAGGGUGCGUAGGCGGUUUGCUAAGCGGGAGGUGAAAUGCCGGCGCUCAACGUCGGAAGUGCCUCCCGAACUGGUGGACUGGAAUGACUCUGCCGUGGGAGGAAUGUGUAGUGUAGCGGUGAAAUGCUUAGAGAUUACACAGAACACCGAUUGCGAAGGCAUCUCACGAAGGGUUGAUUGACGCUGAGGCACGAAAGCGUGGGGAUCAAACAGGAUUAGAUACCCUGGUAGUCCACGCAGUAAACGAUGAUGGCUAACCGCUGGGCUUCUCAGUUCAGUGGCCAAGCGAAAGCGAUAAGCCAUCCACCUGGGGAGUACGACCGCAAGGUUGAAACUUAAAGGAAUUGACGGGG
rnacentral:rRNA from 1 species